rnacentral:tRNA from 2 species
GGGCCAUUAGCUCAACAGGCAGAGCAGCGGACUUUUAAUCCGCGGGUUCAGGGUUCGAUCCCCUGGUGGCCCA